rnacentral:rRNA from 1 species
AGCGGCGGACGGGUGAGUAACGCGUGGGUAACCUGCCCUGUACACACGGAUAACAUACCGAAAGGUAUGCUAAUACGAGAUAAUAUACUUUUAUCGCAUGGUAGAAGCAUCAAAGCUCCGGCGGUACAGGAUGGACCCGCGUCUGAUUAGCUAGUUGGUAAGGUAACGGCUUACCAAGGCGACGAUCAGUAGCCGACCUGAGAGGGUGAUCGGCCACAUUGGAACUGAGACACGGUCCAAACUCCUACGGGAGGCAGCAGUGGGGAAUAUUGCACAAUGGGCGAAAGCCUGAUGCAGCAACGCCGCGUGAGCGAUGAAGGCCUUCGGGUCGUAAAGCUCUGUCCUCAAGGAAGAUAAUGGCGGUACUUGAGGAGGAAGCCCCGGCUAACUACGUGCCAGCAGCCGCGGUAAUACGUAGGGGGCUAGCGUUAUCCGGAAUUACUGGGCGUAAAGGGUGCGUAGGUGGUUUCUUAAGUCAGAGGUGAAAGGCUACGGCUCAACCGUAGUAAGCCUUUGAAACUGGGAAACUUGAGUGCAGGAGAGGAGAGUGGAAUUCCUAGUGUAGCGGUGAAAUGCGUAGAUAUUAGGAGGAACACCAGUUGCGAAGGCGGCUCUCUGGACUGUAACUGACACUGAGGCACGAAAGCAUGGGGAGCAAACAGGAUUAGAUACCCUGGUAGUCCACCUGUAAACGAUGAGUACUAGCUGU